rnacentral:rRNA from 1 species
UUCCGGCGUUGAAUCCAAUUGAACCGCAGGCUUCACCCCUUGUGGUGCUCCCCCGCCAAUUCCUUUAAGUUUCAUACUUGCGUACGUACUUCCCAGGCGGCAAACUUAACGGCUUCCCUGCGGCACUGCACUGGCCAAAAGCCAGUGCAUCACCGAGUCUGCAUCGUUUACAGCUGGGACUACCCGGGUAUCUAAUCCGGUUUGCUCCCCCAGCUUUCAUCCCUCACCGUCGAACGUGUUCUGGUAGACCGCCUUCGCCACAGGUGGUCAUCAAGAGAUCAAAGGAUUUUACCCCUUCCUCCCGAGUACCGUCUACCUCUCCCACUCCCUAGUUCUGCAGUAUUUCCGGCAGCCCAUUAGUUGAGCUAGUGGAUUUAACCGAAAACUUACAGAACCGGCUACGGAUGCUUUAGGCCCAAUAAUCCUCCUGACCACUUGAGGUGCUGGUUUUACCGCGGCGGCUGACACCAGAACUUGCCCACCCCUUAUUCAUCAGUGGUUUUAGAACUAACAAAAGAUUCCUUUAGCAGGAAACACUCGGAUUAACCUUGUCGUGCUUGCGCACAUUGCAAAGGUUUCUCGCCUGCUGCGCCCCAUAGGGCCUGGGUCCGUGUCUCAGUACCCAUCUCCGGGCUUCUCCUCUCAGAGCCCGUACCUGUAAUAGCCUUGGUGGGCCAUUACCUCACCAACAAGCUGAUAGGCCGCAGUCCCAUCCUAUGGCGACGAAUCAUUUGGACCAUAAACCGUUCCAGGCAUUAUGAUCUAUCGCGGAUUAUUCUCAGUUUCCCGAGGUUAUCCACGUCCAUAGGGCAGAUUGACUACGUGUUACUGAGCCGUAUGCCUUGUAUUGCUACAAUGACUCACAUGGCUUAGUACCAAUCCGAUAGCAGUCAGGU